AUCUAUGGUAUCCUCCACGCUCUUCCUCAGGGCUUCUGAGAAAUCCAGAACGGACCCCCUGUCCCCUCACGUUCUUACCGUCAUGGUUGGCGUUUCCUAGCGUCCACGGCUCAUCUGAGUCAAAAUCCUGUCCCGGAACCGAGGCGAUCUACCUGAGAUGGAAUCAGAGUCUGGGAGGUGCCAACCUGAGCCUGCCCUAUGUCUGGCCCUUGGCCCAGCCCACUCCAAAUUCUGAUGUCUGCGUAUGCUGUGGUAGGCUCCAUCAUCCCUGCUCUUGGUGGCUGGUGUGACCUGGGGACCGAUCCUGCUCUGCCCUUGGUUUCCCCAGACAGUCAAUGAAUGACACUGUUGUGAAUUAGUUCCCAGGUCUUUGUACUCCUUAAGAAACAACUGGAAAUCAAUGUUGGGAAUGUUACGUGAAGUCCAUCAGGCCAAGUGGGAGAGGGAUCCAGAGUGGGCUUUGACAGGUGAUAGGGACAAUGAGUUCAGCCAUGGUUCUUUGUCACAGCUGGAAGUUACUGAACAAUCCAUACCCCGCUUUUGGUCACUAAAAACUGUAGGAAUCUAAACAGAACAUAACUAAGGAGCUCCUAGGGGACCAAGUAAACCUGAAGUUGGAGACACAGCAUCCUCUGGAAGCCACAGGAGGACAAAGUCAUGGGCUCACAGCACUGGCCCUCACCCUGAUCGCAGACCCACCUACGGUGUGAGCCUCUGAAACCCAGGCCAGGAAGAAACAGAAUGAUGGUGGAGCCAAAACCAAGGAGGAAGAGAGGGAGUCAAAGCACCUUCCCUGGGAAGAGAACCAGGAGCCAUCUCUGCUACGACAAGGCUGAGCUAGGCCUGGAAGGGAGGGCCCCAGCGCGGAGUCAGGCCCAGAGAAAACAGCAACUGCCCAAGGUCACAGAGCUGGAGCGGAAACUAAGACACAUCAGAUUUAUCUCCAGAAAAACACAGCUCUUGUUGGCUUACUCUCCUGCUAUGAACCUUUCAUUGGAGCUCUACUGGCUACAGAAUAAAGAUUACAUUUGCAUUCAAAGCUUUCCAC